UUUUUUUCCAUUAAUUAGUUUCAGAUUUAGCAAUAAUUCAAUAAGAUUGAAGUUUUUAAAAUCACAAAAAUGGUACACACCUCGUGCAUGCACAUGCACAUACAAACAGGCACACAGCCAUUCUAUUUUCAGAUCAGAACACAGAUAAAUCAUUUGUCACAUUUUGCAGUCCAUAAUUUCUAAAAACCUACUAAAAAAAAAGAGUUCCUUGUAAGUGCAUUCAUUUAUUCCAGAAUUAACAUGUGGAGAUGCAUACCAAACUAAUUUUCUGCAUACUUCUGUUUAUUCAAGCAAUUAAUGUGAUUGGAUAAUGGGUAUGCCAUUUUGAUAUGUAAGAAAUGCAACAUUAAUACUUGGUUGCUAUUUGUCCAUGUGUAUUCCUUUUUACUUGUUACACGCCAAAUAUUGAUAUUUUAGGCCUUCCCCAACCAAGAAGAUGAUAUAGUAAACAUAAAACGAAAACUUGAUCGCUUGUCCUCUGCUUUAUUUUCAAACAUUACAUUUCUAAUAUUGGUUUCUUUACAGUCCAACACGAUGAAGGUUCUAA
rnacentral:misc_RNA from 1 species